GCAGCCUUCACAGGAAUAUCGGUCUACGAUACGCCACCCUGUGCCUAGGUGACGUACGACGGAUUAGUGAUCGACGUGCCAGUCGGUCGACCAGCUUCAGUAAGCAGUGCUUGCCAACGAAAUCCUUAUGCCCGUUACAUCUACGCUUCAACUUUUCCAAGGACACAACAAGCAGCCGCUCACCAAACAUCGGCCGUCAGUCGCAGAAUCAUCCGUCUCCUGGGGCAUCGAGGAACUCAUCGAUGAACACAGGGGAACAUCGACGCACUUCUCCUCGACCGAUCCUAUCAAAGAGGCAAGCAUUCAACUCAGUGCAGCAGCCGUUGCCGUACUGAAUGUCCUUCUUCGAUCCUCUGCUCCGGGCCAACCGAGGACACCGUUUGGUCUCGACGACUAAUCGGCCGCGCUACUAUGCUCCA